rnacentral:rRNA from 1 species
AUGAGAAGGUAUUCUCAGUCUGAUCAAGAAGCCAAUUCGGAGUGCCCCUACAUGAAUUGGAGGCACAAUAUCGAACCUGAAUUUGCGACCAUCGUUCUUGCCGACCAAGAAUACUUGACAAACAUCUCAAUUCAGAAGCAGCUUGUUGGAAACGACAUCCCAUAUGACAUUACAUCAUGCCAGAUGUUCUUCCUGCCUGUCCCCCUCGAGGACGGCUGGAUAGUGAUCAUGUGGGACAUGAUGUCAAGGAAGCUCCAUGUACUUGACCCGCUCAUCAGGGGAGAAGGUCCGCAUGACGCAACGAGAGAUAAGCAUGAGAUAUUGCCUGGAAGCUACAUCAUGCACUUUUCCAAUGCCUUAACGAGUAUUAUGCUGGGUGGCCAACGCAAGACGGACAAUGGUCAACCAAAUACCCAGUAA